rnacentral:rRNA from 1 species
AACUCCGCAAUACACGCAAGUGUGACGGGGCUACCCAAAGUGCUCCAUAUAGGAGCUGUGGUAGGUGCGUAAUGUUCCCUACUAGAAAGGAGAGGGCAAGGCUGGUGCCAGCCGCCGCGGUAAAACCAGCUCUUCAAGUGGUCGGGAUAAUUAUUGGGCUUAAAGUGUCCGUAGCUGGUAAGGUAAGUUCCUGGUAAAAUUGGGCAGCUUAACUGUCCUUAUGCUAGGAAUACUGCUUUACUAGAGGGCGGGAGAGGUCUGAGGUACUACAGGGGUAGGAGUGAAAUCUUAUAAUCCUUGUAGGACCACCAGUGGCGAAGGCGUCAGACUGGAACGCGCCUGACGGUGAGGGACGAAAGCCAGGGGAGCGAACCGGAUUAGAUACCCGGGUAGUCCUGGCCGUAAACGAUGCACUCUAGAUGAUGGUGCGGCCAUGAGCCGUAUCAGUGUCGUAGGGAAACCGUUAAGUGUGCCGCCUGGGAAGUACGGUCGCAAGGCUUAAACUUAAAGGAAUUGGCGGGGGAGCACCACAAGGGGUGAAGCCUGCGGUUCAAUUGGACUCAACGCCGGGCAACUUACCAGGGGAGACAGCAGAAUGAAGGUCAGGUUGACGACCUUACCUAACAAGCUGAGAGGAGGUGCAUGGCCGUCGCCAGUUCGUGCUGUGAGGUAUCCUGUUAAGUCAGGCAACGAACGAGACCCGUGCCUUUAUUUGCCAUCAAGAAGUCACGACUUCGUUGGGAACGAUAAAGGGACUGCCGUCGAUAAGACGGAGGAAGGAGCGGGCAAAGGCAGGUCAGUAUGCCCCGAAACCCCUGGGCUACACGCGGGCUGCAAUGGUGCGAACAAUGGGCUGUGACUCCGACAGGAGAAACCAAUCCCGAAAUCGCAUCUCAGUUGGGAUUGUCAACUGUAACCCGUUGACAUGAACGUGGAAUCCCUAGUAAUC